rnacentral:ncRNA from 2 species
AUAUUCCUUCGGGGUCGGGUGCAAUUCCCAACCGGCGGUGAUGAAGUGAGCGAGUGCUUCUUAGUCCGUGACCCGGUUAACUUACGUUAAGCGGUGGAUCUGGUGAAACUCCAGGGCCGACAGUAAAAGUCUGGAUGGGAGAAGGAAAAA